GACGAACGCUGGCGGCGUGCUUAACACAUGCAAGUCGAACGGUGAAAGCGGAGCUUGCUCCGCUGGAUCAGUGGCGAACGGGUGAGUAACACGUGGGCAACCUGCCCCUCACUUCGGGAUAACUCCGGGAAACCGGGGCUAAUACCGGAUAUGACCUCCUUGGGCAUCCUUGGAGGUGGAAAGUUUUUCGGUGAGGGAUGGGCCCGCGGCCUAUCAGCUUGUUGGUGAGGUAGUGGCUCACCAAGGCGACGACGGGUAGCCGGCCUGAGAGGGCGACCGGCCACACUGGGACUGAGACACGGCCCAGACUCCUACGGGAGGCAGCAGUGGGGAAUAUUGCGCAAUGGGCGAAAGCCUGACGCAGCAACGCCGCGUGCGGGAUGACGGCCUUCGGGUUGUAAACCGCUUUCAGCAGGGAAGAAGCCGCAAGGUGACGGUACCUGCAGAAGAAGCACCGGCUAACUACGUGCCAGCCGCCGCCGUAA
rnacentral:rRNA from 1 species